UGCAAACUGGUUGCAUUCCGUAGUUUUCAUUCUAUCCAAACAGGCCCUUAACUUUUUGAAACAGACACUUUCGUGCUCUCACACCAGAAUCUCUUGCUGUUUGGCUUCAUGCUUUGUAAAACUAGAAGUCAUACUAGUCUACCAACACAAACUAGAGAAAUAAGAAUCACUUAUUGUCUCUCUGCAUAAAAUGUUUUGGAUUUUGUAAAAAAAAAAAAUUUAAUAGAAGGGAGAAUUGGUCUAGUGCUCUCAGAGCAUUAUAAUUAUAACACUCCUAGUUUUCGAAUGUCAUAAUUUUUAUCUAAUCCAUUGAUCAAGUUGUUGAUUGGACCUUUUGUGUGUAAAUGAUCUUGACUGUCUAUACUAAAGGACAUUAAUCAAAUGGUCAAUAUUUUUCAGAAUGGUGUGAUUUUUGCAUGUUAGCCCAUGAAAAAUGGGUUGGACCUGGUGAACAGUAUAGUAGAUCAAUGGAUUUGACUUGCUGAUUCAAGUAGGACCUCUAUAACUUAUAGUGCUCUGAUAGCACUGAAGAAUUUCUCAAGAAAAGGAAUGACACAAUCAUACCUCAUUCUAGCAUUAUCUUUCAGAGAUCCUUCUUGUUCAUCACAUAUUACAUUUCCCUAUAAAUUGAGUAGGCAGUCUGGUAGUUGCUGGGAGUCUUGGUACCUGAACAUAAAAGGUUGCGCUUUCAUAGCAUACAUCACUCAGAAAACUGCUCUACUUGAUUACAGAGUGUGACGGUAUUGGUGAACCCAACAUAGAACCACAGGUUUUGGAAUGGGUUGAUGAAGUAGCAAACUGUCCUUACUCUGAAGGCGUGGGCUAUACCAUCUGCAAUGUAUGUGAAGGUAAAGCGACAAUCCAGAAAAAACUGUAAACCAUACAAAACUGUAGAUCUACAUCUCUCUCAUUAUACAUGAUAUAUGCAUAUGAGAUGCUGAUAUUAUAGCAUUUUUCCUGUGGUUCCUCCAAAAGUGUUUUCUCUUUGGCACUUGCCAAUGUAGUUCUUUGGGUUGGGUUGCAGCCUUAGUAAUUUUUCUGCUUCCUAUUUCUUUCUUCAAUGCAUAAGAUGUAGGGGAACUGAUAAUAAAUGUGAGUCACAUUGUAGCUGAAAUUCGAUGUUUCUGUGUCUUUUGACUUGCAUGGUCCAAGUUUUAGUUGAUUCUGGACAUUCAUGGAAGAAGUAUGGGUCAAUAUAUGUCCACGAUGAACAUUUGAGUGUGAUUCAACCAGUUUCUUAACAGACUGCGAAUGGGACACUACGUAUUCUAUUGCAAUCAGUUGAAGCUAUAUGUAGAAUUUAUAUGUCAGAAUCCAUGGAAAUAGGGGAAUUGUUAGGGCAAAAUUGAAGUAUAACUUACCUCCCAAAUCAACGGUACUUGUGUAAUUUUUGCCUGCAUAU